rnacentral:rRNA from 1 species
UACGGAGGGAGCUAGCGUUGUUCGGAAUUACUGGGCGUAAAGCGCACGUAGGCGGCUUUGUAAGUUAGAGGUGAAAGCCCGGGGCUCAACCCCGGAACUGCCUUUAAGACUGCAUCGCUUGAAUCCAGGAGAGGUGAGUGGAAUUCCGAGUGUAGAGGUGAAAUUCGUAGAUAUUCGGAAGAACACCAAUGGCGAAGGCAGCUCUCUGGGACGGUACUGACGCUGAGACGCGAAAGCGUGGGGAGCGAACAGG